ensembl:snRNA U6 U6 spliceosomal RNA
GUGCUGGCUUCGGCAGCACAUACACUAAAAUUGGAACGAUACAGAGAUUAGCAUGGCCCCUGUGCAAGGAUGACACGCAAAUUUGUGAAGCAUUCCAUAUUUUU